rnacentral:rRNA from 1 species
UACGAAGGGGGCUAGCGUUGCUCGGAAUUACUGGGCGUAAAGGGUGCGUAGGCGGUUGUUUAAGUCUGUCGUGAAAUCCCCGGGCUCAACCUGGGAAUGGCGAUGGAUACUGGGCAGCUAGAGUGUGUCAGAGGAUGGUGGAAUUCCCGGUGUAGCGGUGAAAUGCGUAGAGAUCGGGAGGAACAUCAGUGGCGAAGGCGGCCAUCUGGGACAACACUGACGCUGAAGCACGAAAGCGUGGGGAGCAAACAGG